AAAGCGAAAGCCGGCGUCUACGCAGAAUUAUUGGACUGUCCGUUACUUCCGGCCUUAAAUCCGCCGUCGCCUCUCGCUCCUCGCCGGCGACCCCUUCCCCGACCAUUCUCAGCCAUUGAUUUCACUUUCCUCUGAAAAUGACGACAAAACCGCCCCACUCAAUCAUCUCCAUCGCUUCGUCCUCUUUAUAAUCACUCCCAAUUUCCCACACGUUCUUCCUCUUUCCUUACACAUCCAUCCAUCCAUUUCACUCUCGCACUUUCCGCGAUUCUUCGAACUCCCCAAAUUACAAUUGAUGGCAAUGGCGACGCUUCCAUUUUUCGCCCCUUCCCCCUUCCCCUCUUUCUCAUUCAAUAGUCUUUAGCUUUUCAGAUGCGUAUGGGCUCUCGUUUUCGUCUUUCGUGUUUUAGAUCUGCCUUUCUUUUUCCGUUCGUUGUUGAUUUGGAUCUUUCGUUAUUAUUAUUAUUAUUUUAAUCUGUUCUUCGUUUCUUGAUUGAAUGGGAGGUGGAGUCAGUGGAAGCAGCGGUUCAUCGACCUCUUCUUGGGAUUUGUAAUGAAUCGAACGCAAAAACACGAACCGGUCGAUAAACCUCUGCAUCCAGCGCUCUCUCUCGCUCUCUAUCAUUUUUCCCUCCUUUUGUUUGGGGAGAAAUUUAGGACAACCGGGAAAGCAAAACCUCUUUUGCUUCGUUUCUUUGACCAUCUGGGACCCCUUUCUGUUUCUGUCUGCAUCUUGAUAAUUAGUCAAGGGGGCAAGGGCUCAACACUUUUUUCUUCUCAUUCUGCUUUUGCUGCUUCUUGUUGGAAGAUCAGGAUUUUCCUUCUAGAGAAAAUUGAAGGAGAAAUUGUAUUUCAGUCUUAAUUUUGAUUCGAAUUAUUGUUGUUCAUACUCCCUGCAGAUAAUGGAUUGUUAGCAAGUUAUAGUUUAAUUUGGCUUGUUUGGAUUGGUUGCAGCUCUAUAUGGAUUCAUUGGAAUGCUAUAUUCAAAUUAACUGGAUGAUAUAACCUGUUUCUUUUGUGCUUGUUUAUGUUUCUAGAGAGUAACUAUAAUUCUUCCAGUUGAUUAAUUAAGUAAUCUUUCUUGAACAACAUAUGAUAUCUCUUGGCUCUUAACCUGACACUCAGUUUUUGUUUCCUGUCCAGAUCUUUUGUCAUUUCUUCACCUGUUAACCAAAUUUUACUGCUUGUUUUUCAAUUCAAGCAUGCUCUAAAAUCCAACCCAAAUCCGUUUUACUGACUUAUAUGUUCUUAGAUAGGAUAGAACCAUUCUUAGUUAGCUGUUUGGAUAUAUUUGUAAGCAAAUCAGAGAACAGGAAAUGGUGUUAUGGUGUUUAUGCUUAUGCCUUGCUGUGUAGGCUCUGAUCGUGUCUUUUCCUGUCCAUUUGAUCUCUACCUGACAUGAUGAAAGAAGAAUCCCUGACAUGGUUGAAAGCAUAAAAGGUCUUGAUGGAAAAAUCCCAUGAUUGGUUUAUUAUUUGGUUUCUUGUAUGUUUCCACUGGUUAUGGAUUUGGAAAUUAGUCUCCAAGAUUCCUAUGAACUGCAAUUCUGGGUUUUUGAUGCCUUGUGUGAAGAAACUUUCCUUUUCAGUAGAGAGAAAAGUUUCCACUUGUGAAAUAUUGAGAAUUGGGAUAGCCAAAACCAGAGCAGUCAAUUCUUAAGCUUUUAUGGUGGCAUUUGAAAAGGGGGGUGUCUUUUUCUUCAUAGAUGAUGGUAGUUCUUUUCAUGGCUUCAUUUCAGUUUAGGGGAAAGUGGGCAACUUUAAUGAAAGAUGCUGAUGGAUGACAUGCUAUUCAGCCUUCAUUAUUGUGUUGGAAGUAACAGUUUGUGAAGUGCCAAUUUGCCCAGGCCAGGGGAGGGAGGUAUCAGAUUCCUUUCAUUGAAACUCAUGUUUGUAAAGCAAAACAAGCAGAUAUGAUCAUUCUGAUGUCUCGACGAGAUCAUCAACACAUAUGCUAGUUCUCAUGUGUCCGAGCACGCCAAGCUAGCCGAUGUGUCCCGAGACAUGGGAGGACAUCACGAUACAUGGAUUAUGUUCUUGAAAAGCAAGGUGACAAUGAAAUGCGAUGUUGUGUUGCACACGAUUAAACAUGCAUGCACAAAUGUCGUAUAUGGCUGAACAAACUUGGAUUCUGCACAAGUUGUGUUCGGUUAAUAAAGGAAGUCGGGCGGGGGCUUGAGUUCCCCUUAAGCACAAGUUGUGUUCGGUUAAUAAAGGAAGUCGGGCGGGGGCUUGAGUUCCCCUUAAGCACAAGUUGUGUUCGGUUAAUAAAGGAAGUCGGGCGGGGGCUUGAGUUCCCCUUAAGCACAAGUUGUGUUCGGUUAAUAAAGGAAGUCGGGCGGGGGCUUGAGUUCCCCUUAAGCACAAGUUGUGUUCGGUUAAUAAAGGAAGUCGGGCGGGGGCUUGAGUUCCCCUUAAGCACAAGUUGUGUUCGGUUAAUAAAGGAAGUCGGGCGGGGGCUUGAGUUCCCCUUAAGCACAAGUUGUGUUCGGUUAAUAAAGGAAGUCGGGCGGGGGCUUGAGUUCCCCUUAAGCACAAGUUGUGUUCGGUUAAUAAAGGAAGUCGGGCGGGGGCUUGAGUUCCCCUUAAGAUCAGUAAUGAAUGCAUCAAUAUCAUGAUACUGCGUUUGAAAA